rnacentral:rRNA from 1 species
CCUACGGGAGGCCGCAGUGAGGAAUAUUGGUCAAUGGAGGAGACUCUGAACCAGCCAAGUAGCGUGAAGGAUGACUGCCCUAUGGGUUGUAAACUUCUUUUAUAUGGGAAUAAAAUGUUCCACGUGUGGGAUUUUGUAUGUACCAUAUGAAUAAGGAUCGGCUAACUCCGUGCCAGCAGCCGCGGUAAUACGGAGGAUCCGAGCGUUAUCCGGAUUUAUUGGGUUUAAAGGGAGCGUAGGUGGAUUGUUAAGUCAGUUGUGAAAGUUUGCGGCUCAACCGUAAAAUUGCAGUUGGAACUGGCAGUCGUGAGUACAGUAGAGGUGAGCGGAAUUCGUGGUGUAGCGGUGAAAUGCUUAGAUAUCACGAAGAACUCCGAUUGCGAAGGCAGUUCACUGGACUGCAACUGACACUGAGGCUCGAAAGUGUGGGUAUCAAACAGGAUUAGAUACCCGUGUAGUC